rnacentral:rRNA from 1 species
AUACGGAGGAUCCAAGCGUUAUCCGGAUUUAUUGGGUUUAAAGGGAGCGUAGGUGGACAGUUAAGUCAGUUGUGAAAGUUUGCGGCUCAACCGUAAAAUUGCAGUUGAUACUGGCUGUCUUGAGUACAGUAGAGGUGGGCGGAAUUCGUGGUGUAGCGGUGAAAUGCUUAGAUAUCACGAAGAACUCCGAUUGCGAAGGCAGCUCACUGGACUGCAACUGACACUGAUGCUCGAAAGUGUGGGUAUCAAACAGGAUUAGAUACCCUGGUAGUCCACACAGUAAACGAUGAAUACUCGCUGUUUGCGAUAUACAGUAAGCGGCCAAGCGAAAGCAUUAAGUAUUCCACCUGGGGAGUACGCCGGCAACGGUGAAACUCAAAUGAAUUGACGGGG